GGUCUGGUGGUGUAGUUGGUUAUCACGUCAGUCUAACAGGAUGAGGUCUCCCCCUCGAUUGAGCACACUGAAGGUCUCCGGUUCAAGUCCGGGCUAGAUCA
rnacentral:tRNA from 2 species